rnacentral:misc_RNA from 1 species
GAUACAGGCAUUUACAGGGACAAACUUUGAUUUCUCAUCCUACUCUUCCAAUUUAAAAUCUGUUCUUGGGAUAUCACAGGUCCAGCUAAACUACUUGGCUGUGGCAUCUGAUAUGGGAAAGGCUUUUGGGUGGUGUUCUGGGUGGUCUCUUUUGCAUUUUCCUCUGUGGGUUGUCUUGUUCAUGGCUGCCUUCUUGGGGCUG